rnacentral:rRNA from 2 species
GCGAACUGAUUAGAAGCUUGCUUCUAUGACGUUAGCGGCGGACGGGUGAGUAACACGUGGGCAACCUGCCUGUAAGACUGGGAUAACUUCGGGAAACCGAAGCUAAUACCGGAUAGGAUCUUCUCCUUCAUGGGAGAUGAUUGAAAGAUGGUUUCGGCUAUCACUUACAGAUGGGCCCGCGGUGCAUUAGCUAGUUGGUGAGGUAACGGCUCACCAAGGCAACGAUGCAUAGCCGACCUGAGAGGGUGAUCGGCCACACUGGGACUGAGACACGGCCCAGACUCCUACGGGAGGCAGCAGUAGGGAAUCUUCCGCAAUGGACGAAAGUCUGACGGAGCAACGCCGCGUGAGUGAUGAAGGCUUUCGGGUCGUAAAACUCUGUUGUUAGGGAAGAACAAGUACGAGAGUAACUGCUCGUACCUUGACGGUACCUAACCAGAAAGCCACGGCUAACUACGUGCCAGCGGCC